GGUGAACGCUGGCGGCGUGCUUAAGACAUGCAAGUCGAACGCAGUCUUCGGACUGAGUGGCGCACGGGUGAGUAACACGUAACUGACCUACCCCCAAGUCGCGAAUAACCAGCCGAAAGGAUGGCUAAUACGUGAUGUGAUGAUCCGCUGUGGCGGAUCAUUAAAGACUUGAUCGCUUGGGGAUGGGGUUGCGUUCCAUCAGCUAGUUGGUAAGGUAAAGGCUUACCAAGGCAACGACGGAUAGCCGGCCUGAGAGGGUGGCCGGCCACAGGGGCACUGCGACACGGUUCCCACUCCUACGGGAGGCAGCAGUUAGGAAUCUUCCACAAUGGGCGCAAGCCUGAUGGAGCGACGCCGCGUGAGGGAUGAAGGUUCUCGGAUCGUAAACCUCUGAACCAACGACGAAAGACCCGACAAGGGAGAUGACGGUAGUUGGGUAAUAGCACCGGCUAACUCCGUGCCAGCCGCCGCCGUAACAC
rnacentral:rRNA from 1 species